GGGGAGGGGCGCGUGAACACGGAGGUGGUUGUAUUAUAUUUGUGUACAUUAUCAAUUGUCGCGCAAUUUAAGUUGUAAAUAAGGCCGCAGAUAUUAAUUUAGGAAAAAUACCCGCCGUCGUCAUAAAUAUCGCUCGGGGACUAAUCAAAUUCCGUUUACGCUUCUUUGCGCGCUUUCGGAACGACGACGACGUUCGCCCGCGUGCCAUUAUU